rnacentral:rRNA from 1 species
AUGACGACGGGGGAGGACGCGGUCAUGGGCGCGGCGGCGAGCUCCGAGUGCAGCAGCGGCUGCCAGUCCGGCUGGACCACCUACCUGGACGACGACACCUCCUCCUACUCCCGCGGCGGCUCCACCGCGCGGCUCCACGGCGGCAAGGGGCAGCGGUGCCGCUCGUCCUGCCGCUCCGAGGACGCGGAGGAGGACGACCUGUCCAUGAUCUCCGACGCCUCCUCCGGCCCGCGCCACCAGUACUCGGCCGGCUCCGACGAAGGCGCCGCCGCGCAGGCCAAUGCACAGCGCGCGGAGAGGAGGCGUAGGACGGCGGAGCCUGCGGCCGCGAGGCGGCAGGGCAAGAUGGCCGCCGCCGUCGCGUCGACUCUGCUCGAGGACACGGCCAGCUCGCCGGCCUUCUUCAAGCACUCCAAGCAGGUGAUGGGCUCGCCGGAGGCCAAUGGCUACGGCGGGGCGGCCGGGUCGACGAUGGAGUACAGCAAUGCGGCCGACUUCUCCUCCACCUUCUUCUCCCCGGCGGGCUUCGAGUCUCCCUUGAGCGGAUCUCCUCUGGGCAGCUACCUGCAUGCGCAGUACUCCCCUGCCCCUGCCACCAAGCCGAUGCCCACACGACAGCAGGCGUGCAGGGACGGGGGUGACAAGAUGGAGAGGUGGUGA